ACAUGGAUGAACAAUAAAUAAAAUAGCAUGGGUGAUUUAGACCGAGGGAUCUCAAGAUUAGAUCAACCCCAAUUUCUUGGCGAUUGAACCCUAAUCCCAUAUGAAUGUCGAUUGGAAUUUCUUCCUAACCAACAUUCCUACGAUUGCAUUAAGUACAAGGAGAUCCCAAGAUAAGGGUACAGUAAGCCCUAGUUUACCCUUAAAGAUCGGAGGGCUAUUGAUACCCAAUUUCUCGGCAUAUUAAUACAAGAAACCCCUUUUAGUUCAUGAAUGAUCUAAUACACUUGAAUAUAUCACAUCUACGUGUAUAACUCGAGAAAGAACUACGGAUCUCUCCAUUGAGUAGUUCUAGGCGUGAAACACAAUGAACUAAAUCAUAAUUUAACCCAAACUUGCAAUUAAAGAUAAAUCAUCCAAAAUACAUGAUGAAUCCUCCAAGGUUCACCAACAUCCGGUAGCCUUGAAGGUAUAGUGUGCCAUCAUACAAACAAUAAUAACAAAGAGAAAUCAAGCACAAAGUUCAUAAAUGACACUCCCUAGAUAAAAUGAUGGAGGAGAAGGUGGAGGUCCAGCCGAAUAAUCCUUUCCCCAUCCAAGAGAGGCCAAAUGACACUUCCCUUGGCUUGGAACCAUGCUCCCUUGAUGGUGAACCUUCCCCUUCUUGAUGAUGAAGCCUUGCCUCCUUCUUUGGCCCAAGAUCGUCUUCUUCAAAAUGGUAUCUUCGUUCUUCUUUUUCUCCUCUUCAAAUAUUGACCAAGAGUCCCUAGAGAAGCCCUAGAGAUAUUCUUUUAUAUCCCCCCCCAAGGCAUACGGGACACAUGGGGAACGUAUGGAAGUGAAAUGGAGCAAAAAAACCCCAAAUCCUGAGCCAUACCAUCCCCAAAAUGGGGUCAAUGAAGGUGGUAUAACGGGUAGUAUGGGGGAUGGUAUGAAGUAGGCAAAGGAUUCAGAUUUUAUGGCAGACAGCCUCCCAUACGAUCUCCUUGAGGCUGUAUGCCUCGAAUUGACUUCCGACCAAUAAAAAUCCCAAGGUGCUACAGUGACUACUACUAUAGUGAAUGUGCUACAGUACCUACGCUAUAGUACUUGAGCUACAAUGAAUAUGCUACAGAGUUGUGACAUGUUUUCUUCUCUUUUCUGCACAGAUUAUGUCCUCGUGUUCUCCGUGGCGCUUACAUGGCCUACAAAGCAAAUAGCACUCGACCAAGCAUAAAACGGGCAUCAAAAUGUAACAAUAUACAUGCCAAGUGUAUAAAAUAUGUAUAAUAAAAUAUAUACAUUUAGACAUUUAUCAGGGUCCAGCGCUCACAAGAGCACCACACGUUGCGCGGUGUCCUAUGCGCCCGCGGCGGCCCAUGAAAAUCCAGAGGACCAAGUGCCGCCCACGCUUGAUCGUCCCCAUAACUGCAUCAGGUCUCCAAGGUUAACAGCCUUUGGCUGAUGGAACAAUAUAGGCAAUAGAAGUCGGCAAAAUGAAUCCGUAACUUCGGGAAAAAGAUUGGCUCUAAGGGCUGGGCAUGGGGUCCCGGCCCUAACCCGUCGGCUGUCAGUGGACUGCUCGAGCUGCGUCUGCAGUGAGAGCGGGCCAUCACGUGUCGGUGAGGGACAAACCGGGAACGGCCCGCGUGCCGCUCUUACAGCGCGGGGCCUUCCCCGGGCAUCGAAUAGCCGACUCAGAAUUGGUACGGCUAAGAGGAAUCCGACUGUCUAAUUAAAACAAAGCAUUGCAAUAGUCACACAUUGUGAUUUCUACCAAGUGCUCUGAAUGUCAAAGUGAAGAAAUUUAACCAAGCGCGGGUAAACAAUGGGAGUAACUAUGACUCUCUCGAGGUAACCAAAUGCCUUAUCAUCUAAUGUCAUCUAAUUAGUGAUACACAUGAAUGAAUUAAUGAGAUUCCCACUGUCCCUAUCUACUAUCCAGAUAACCACAGCCAAGGGAACGGGCUUAGCGAAAUCAACGGGGAAAGAAGACCCUGUUGAGCUUGACUCUAGUCCGAUUUUUUGAAAUAACUUGAGAGAUGGAGGAUAAGUGUGAGCCCUCAGGCGGAACUAAAAUACCACUACUUUUAACAUUAUUUUACUUAUUCCGUGGACCGGAGGUAGGGCUCCGUCCCUCCUUUUGGCUUCAAAGCCACGUUCUGCGCACGGUCGAUCCAGGCAGAAUACAUUGUCAGGUGGGGAGUUUGGCAGGUGUUCUAAGAUGAGCUCAACAAGAACAAAAUUCCUCUGUGGAACAAAAGGGUAAAAGCUCGUUUGAUUCUAAUUUCCAGUACAAAUACGAACCACGAAAGCGUGGCCUAUCGAUCCUUUAGCCCUUUGGGAUUUGAAGCUAGAGGUGUCAGAAAAGUUACCACAGUGAUAACUUGCUUAUGGCAGCCAAGCAUUCAUAGCGACGUUGCUUUUUUAUCCUUCGAUGUUGGCUCUUCCUAUCAUUGUGAAAACAAAAUUUACCAAGUGUUGGAUUGUUCACCCACCAAUAGGGAACGUCAUCUCGGUUUAGACCGUCAUGAGACAGAUUAAUUUUACCCUACUGAUAGCCACACCGCCAUAUUAAUUCAACCUAGUACGAGAGGAACCAUUGAUUCACAUAAUUGGUCAUCGCGCUUAGUUGAAAAGCCAGUGGCAUGAAGCUACCAUGUGCAGGAUUAUGGCUAAACGGCUCUAAGCCAAAACCAAAGCUAGCGUGCGGCGCCACGACCCUCCACCCAGAACCACGACCGGCAAUAGGGAACCCGUCACAAGCAGCGGCCACCACGGCGGACCUGCCGUGAAUGGCGGCCUCGAAGCAAGAUUCGAGUGGGCUGUGGUUGCUUACCCGCAAGUGUACGGGAUCGUUAAGUAAUUCCUCGUGCAAAGACAUGAGGAUCGUAUUCCUCGGUGCUAAGGAUCUACUAUUACUUCUUGGUCGCCUACUAUCU
rnacentral:rRNA from 1 species